UGCCUUUAAAAAGGGUCUGAAAAGCCAGUUUCUUGGUUCUACAAGCAGGGAUACAGACUGUCUGGGAAGGAGAGUGUUGCUGUAGGAUCCUCACGACUGCGUGUGUUAACCAAGAGAGUGUUCCUGUCAGGCUGGUGGGUGGGAACAGCUGCUGCUCUGGGAGAGUUGAGGUUCUUCAUGAUGGCCAGUGGGGGACAGUGUGUGAUGAUUCCUGGGACAUGAAUGACGCCCAGGUUGUGUGCAGAGAGCUGGGCUGUGGUUCUGCUGUGUUGGCUCCAGAAGGUGCUCACUUUGGCCAAGGGGAUGGAACAAUCUGACUGGAUGAUGUGGCAUGCAGUGGAUCAGAGACCUCACUGCACAGCUGUGGAUCACAAGGAUGGGGUAAAGAAAACUGUAACCACGGUGAAGAUGCUGGAGUGGUUUGCUCAGCAUUGCAGAAUGUUUCUGUCAGGCUGGUGGGCGGGAGCAGCUGCUGCUCUGGGAGAGUUGAGGUUCUUCAUGAUGGCCAGUGGGGGACAGUGUGUGAUGAUUCCUGGGACAUGAACGAUGCCCAGGUUGUGUGCAGAGAGCUGGGCUGUGGCUCUGCUGUGUUGGCUCCAGGAAGUGCUCACUUUGGCCAAGGGAAUGGAACAAUCUGGCUGGAUGAGGUGGAAUGCAAUGGAUCAGAGACCUCACUGCACAGCUGUGGAUCACAAGGAUGGGAUAACCAUGACUGUA